GAUGAACGCUGGCGGCGUGCCUAAUACAUGCAAGUCGAGCGAACUGAUUAGAAGCUUGCUUCUAUGACGUUAGCGGCGGACGGGUGAGUAACACGUGGGCAACCUGCCUGUAAGACUGGGAUAACUUCGGGAAACCGAAGCUAAUACCGGAUCGGAUCUUCUCCUUAAUGGGAGAUGAUUGAAAGAUGGUUUCGGCUAUCACUUACAGAUGGGCCCGCGGUGCAUUAGCUAGUUGGUGAGGUAACGGCUCACCAAGGCAACGAUGCAUAGCCGACCUGAGAGGGUGAUCGGCCACACUGGGACUGAGACACGGCCCAGACUCCUACGGGAGGCAGCAGUAGGGAAUCUUCCGCAAUGGACGAAAGUCUGACGGAGCAACGCCGCGUGAGUGAUGAAGGCUUUCGGGUCGUAAAACUCUGUUGUUAGGGAAGAACAAGUACAAGAGUAACUGCUUGUACCUUGACGGUACCUAACCAGAAAGCCACGGCUAACUACGUGCCAGCCGCCGCCGUAAGAC
rnacentral:rRNA from 1 species